ACACACGCGUGGCAUGCACACCUCAUGAGCAGAGCCUCUUUCUUCCCUUUUUAGAUGAAAACUGAAGGUGAGGCAGGCUGCAAGUGUGUGGAGUUUUCUCCUCAGGUGGUGAGCCAAGAACGGUGCCUCUCAACCCUAUAGUUCAAAACAGCAAACCCAGCAGUGUGUCAAUAGAGGUAGACGCAUUUUCUAGGUGAGAACAACUGGAAGGUUCUAUAGAUGGCACACAACAUCAGUCAGCAGGGAGCGAAGCAAGGGAUGAAGAUGCGAAACUGAAACAAGGCCACAGGCCUUGAAAAUGAAAGAGAUUCACUCAGAGGAGGAGACCUCAACCUCCAACCUUUUGAAACGUAAACAGUGGUAGAAGCCUACAUCUCUCCAUGAAGGAUGCAAACAAGUCUGUGCAAAUUUGAAGGCACAGAGUUUUUAAGGCCUCUGACCAACUGCAAAAGCCAAACAGGCCUCAGCUCUCCGCCUAGCCACAUGCUUCCCCUUCUCUGGCAGACUGCUCAUGAGGACUUGCCUUAAAGACAGCGAUGGCAUAGGGGUGUGGGAGGUUGUCAAGGAUGACUGAACGCUGCUGGCCACUGAAAGUGAUGCGCUCGAUACAGUCCAGUUGUGAGACAUCUGGAGACCAUAAGAGAGUUGGAUGCUUUCUAAUCAAAUACACACAGAGUUAUCGGACCACGACAAGCAAGCUAUGGCUUCAGAAGCCUCAGUCAACAGGUUUAUUCCCCCCCCCCCCCCCCNCCCCCCCCCCCGUGAUCACCAGAAGCAGAAACUUGGCCUUACGUUUUCACUUUCAUGAGCAUCUGUUGCAGCAGUGGACACAACGCUGACUCCCCGUAAGGAACACUUACCCUUCUUGGGGUACAAGGACUAGAGCCCUGGGUCGAUCAAGCACAGAGGAAUUGACGAUUGUCAGUCGGAAGUCACCAUCUGGAUUAGCUACCUGACAAAACAAAGGGGGUGGGGGAAUGAGAGGGAUCUAAGUUCCUUACAAAGCCCACAAAACCAAAGCCCUACACGGGCCCUGCCUAUGGCACACUCUCCACACCUGCCCUCUACUCUCGGGUCUCAUUCUAGAACCAUGGUGAGCCCGCCUUGAUUCCCAAUCAGAAGGUACUCAUCAUGUCCCUGGCUGAGAUAAUUCCCACAUGGGCUGAAGGAGCAGCUAGAGCUGUGUGCUCCCUGACGCCAACCCUGGAGCAUGACAACUUGCACAAAGGUGACUGUUGUGGUCCCUCAGAGUCCAAGAACUCUUCAGUGCUUGCACACAACCCACACACAGCUUCCUGCCUGUUCUAAGCCACCCCUAGACCACCUGUUAAUUCCCACGACAGUGCUGGUGCUAAGUAAUCGGUGAGUUGUUCGGGAAUGGAACAACAGGAAAAGAUGUCUGCGCACUC
rnacentral:lncRNA from 1 species